AAGUCGUAACAAGGUCUCCGUAGGUGAACCUGCGGAGGGAUCAUUAAAACACGUAUCCACGUAUCAACCUUUUGUGAACCUGUUUUUAUAACAAUCACUUUUAACGCUUGAAACUUAACUGUAAACUGUUUUAUGUGUUAACGCACAUCAAACCAAACAUAUAACCAAUUGAUAUCACAACUCUUAGCAACGGAUAUCUUGGCUCUC
rnacentral:misc_RNA from 1 species